rnacentral:rRNA from 1 species
GACAGAGGGUGCAAACGUUGUUCGGAAUUACUGGGCGUAAAGCGCGUGUAGGCGGUUCGUAAAGUCGGAUGUGAAAGCCCUGGGCUUAACCCAGGAAGUGCAUUCGAAACUCACGAACUUGAGUCCCGGAGAGGAAGGCGGAAUUCUCGGUGUAGAGGUGAAAUUCGUAGAUAUCGGGAGGAACAUCAGUGGCGAAGGCGACCACCUGGCCCAACACUGACGCUGAGGUGCGAAAGCGUGGGUAGCAAACAGG